ensembl:piRNA 21ur-4281 ncRNA
UAGUACCGACAUAUCAACGGA